GAUGAACGCUAGCGGCAGGCCUAAUACAUGCAAGUCGAGGGGCAGCGCGGUAGCAAUACUGGCGGCGACCGGCGCACGGGUGCGUAACACGUAUGCAACCUACCUUCAACUGGAGGAUAGCCCGGGGAAACUCGGAUUAAUACUCCAUAACACAGGGAUCCCGCAUGGGAAUAUUGUUAAAGCUACGGCGGUUGAAGAUGGGCAUGCGUUCGAUUAGCUAGUUGGUGUAGGUAACGGCUCACCAAGGCUACGAUCGAUAGGGGGUCUGAGAGGAUGAUCCCCCACACUGGUACUGAGAUACGGGCCAGACUCCUACGGGAGGCAGCAGUAGGGAAUAUUGGUCAAUGGAUGGAAGUCUGAACCAGCCAUGCCGCGUGCAGGAAGAAGGGCCCUUUCUGGGUUGUAAACUGCUUUGCCAGGGGAUAAAAUGACCUUG
rnacentral:rRNA from 1 species